UUUUGAUAUCUUGUUGUUUUGCUACUCUCACUUUGGAGUUCGGAUGGUGUCUAGCAACGUUGGGUACCUCGUUUCUUGUGUGAGCGAGUGGUUGCUGUUUACGACGUGUUCAUAUAUCGAUUUGUAGUGCUGUAAUGUGCAAAUUAGCGGACUUUAUAGCGGCUCUCUAUUUUCCGUCGUUGUCUUUCGAGCAGCGCCUGUUGUUCCGGUAAAAAUCGAGUUGAAUGAAUCGCCACAGCCCCAACGUAGAUCGCGCAGUGUUGACCAAGUCCAGCAGGAAUUCUGGCAUGGUAUGUGGCUGCACGGAGGAUUCCAAAAAAGAAAAACAACAACAUGGCUAAUAGGAUGUUGCUGCCCAGGGAGUCCUGGCCGAAGAGGUUUACUCAUUCCAGAAGCAAGAAUUGUACAAUUGUAAGGCGAAUGGAAAUAAACUGACAUCGACUGAGAUA